rnacentral:rRNA from 1 species
UACGGGGGGAGCAAGCGUUGUUCGGAUUUACUGGGCGUAAAGGGCGCGUAGGCGGUCAGCACAAGUCAGUUGUGAAAUCUCCGGGCUUAACUCAGAAAGGUCAACUGAUACUGUGCGACUAGAGUGCGGAAGGGGCAACUGGAAUUCUCGGUGUAGCGGUGAAAUGCGUAGAUAUCGAGAGGAACACCAGUGGCGAAGGCGAGUCUCUGGACAUUUCCUGACGCUGAGGCACGAAAGCCAGGGGAGCAAACGGG